rnacentral:tRNA from 1 species
GCGUAGCUCAAUCGGUAGAGUGGUGGUCUCCAAAACCAUAGGUUGAAGGUUUGAAUCCUUUCGC